UUUAUGGAGAGUUUGAUCCUGGCUCAGGAUGAACGCUGGCGGCGUGCCUAAUACAUGCAAGUCGAGCGAACAGAUAAGGAGCUUGCUCCUUUGACGUUAGCGGCGGACGGGUGAGUAACACGUGGAUAACCUACCUAUAAGACUGGGAUAACUUCGGGAAACCGGAGCUAAUACCGGAUAACAUAUUGAACCGCAUGGUUCAAUAGUGAAAGGCGGCUUUGCUGUCACUUAUAGAUGGAUCCGCGCCGUAUUAGCUAGUUGGUAAGGUAACGGCUUACCAAGGCAACGAUACGUAGCCGACCUGAGAGGGUGAUCGGCCACACUGGAACUGAGACACGGUCCAGACUCCUACGGGAGGCAGCAGUAGGGAAUCUUCCGCAAUGGGCGAAAGCCUGACGGAGCAACGCCGCGUGAGUGAUGAAGGUCUUCGGAUCGUAAAACUCUGUUAUCAGGGAAGAACAAAUGUGUAAGUAACUGUGCACAUCUUGACGGUACCUGAUCAGAAAGCCACGGCUAACUACGUGCCAGCAGCCGCGGUAAUACGUAGGUGGCAAGCGUUAUCCGGAAUUAUUGGGCGUAAAGCGCGCGUAGGCGGUUUUUUAAGUCUGAUGUGAAAGCCCACGGCUCAACCGUGGAGGGUCAUUGGAAACUGGAAAACUUGAGUGCAGAAGAGGAAAGUGGAAUUCCAUGUGUAGCGGUGAAAUGCGCAGAGAUAUGGAGGAACACCAGUGGCGAAGGCGACUUUCUGGUCUGUAACUGACGCUGAUGUGCGAAAGCGUGGGGAUCAAACAGGAUUAGAUACCCUGGUAGUCCACGCCGUAAACGAUGAGUGCUAAGUGUUAGGGGGUUUCCGCCCCUUAGUGCUGCAGCUAACGCAUUAAGCACUCCGCCUGGGGAGUACGACCGCAAGGUUGAAACUCAAAGGAAUUGACGGGGACCCGCACAAGCGGUGGAGCAUGUGGUUUAAUUCGAAGCAACGCGAAGAACCUUACCAAAUCUUGACAUCCUUUGACCGCUCUAGAGAUAGAGUCUUCCCCUUCGGGGGACAAAGUGACAGGUGGUGCAUGGUUGUCGUCAGCUCGUGUCGUGAGAUGUUGGGUUAAGUCCC
rnacentral:rRNA from 1 species